UUUGAAUGUGUGUUGCUCCUUGUGGCAGGUAUACUGUUCCAAUGCCCUGGGAUCUCUGUAGUGGUCGGUACUGUAUUGAUUAUAAAUGGUGAAGUCCUAGUAUCUUGCUAGAGUGAGCUGGCCAGGAUGGUGGAGCUCUACCACCAUUUCACAGGUUAUAGACAGGGGCCACCAGGUUUCAGGAAAGCAGCAAUGACCCCUCAGUAAUAGUUGGAAAGUGUGAUAUGACACUGAGCUUCACUGUGUUGGUGAAGAAGAGGUGAGGAAAAUAAAAGCUGCAGUUUGCCUCCACCUCUGAAGAAGCACAAUACACCUUUCUGGGUUACCAAUGGGAUACUUCCCAACAGCUUUGUCAUCACAUACAAUAUUCUCAAACAAGAUCUUAAUGGCAUCUACUUUCUCCAGGAACACAGCCCCUGACCUGUGUGUGUUUGCGUAGAGAAGGCAUGCUAUGUACCCCCUAGGAUAUCAAGAUUCCUGUAGCAGAUUGAGCUCUGGCAGUUGAUCUCAGUGGCUUGAUAGAGUGUCAUUAUAAAAACGCACCUGGAAGAUUCUGUGGAAAAGACAACCUCAGAAGACCAAGGAAUCUGCCCACCACUCAAGCCUGGGAAAGCUGGCAGAGGAUGCACGUGUUUUACUCACCUGAGUGUUUACAAUGCUCGUGAGGUGCCUCCCUGAUAGUAAUGAUAGCAUCUCACAGUUCAGUUUAAGGAAGCAAUACAGAGACAUGCAAAUCAUCCCUAAGACAUGAGUACUCCAUGUGAGGGUGUUGUGAGGGCCUAAGAAGAAAGACAAUCAUUUGGGACAACGUUCUGAGAAGGGAGAUGGUUGCUGCCCUCGUGGAUUUAACAGACUUGGUUAUGUGGCUAGUUUUCUUUUUCUUCUUCCAUACCUGAACUGUGGUACUCAAGAGAAUCAUCUGAAGCUUGUGUUGGACAGGACAGGCAAUAACUUCAAACUGAAUAAUGAGGCCCAAGAUGGACAGUCCCUCGUUGAGGGUCAGAGCCAGCACCCUUGUAGACUGUGACUACUAGGCCAACUCCUAGAGCUAGAGUUCCAUAUGGACAAGGACAAGCUCUAGCUAGAUCAGAGCAAUUUCAUCACAAAGCAAGUUUUAUUUUCAAUCAUCGCUGCAGACCACAAAGGUCAGGCUAAAUAUCGACAGAUCUCUAUUGUGGGAAAAUUUGGACUUUUGGCUUAUUAUCAGUACUCAACCUUGAUAGGCAGCACCAGAUUAACUGCUAAAGAUUCUAUGCAUCUUUAUCUCAUUAGCCUUUUACAUUUUAUCCUGUUUCUUAGCCUCGGCUGGGGGACGGGUACAGUCAACUCCCACUGGAGCAACAACAUAAAAGGUGGGAAGGAAAAUGUUUAUGUUGACACCAGGGUAGUGAAAGCUAUCCAAGCUAUGGGGAAUUUAAUGCUGAGGAAAGGCAAGAUCAGGGUGGAGCAUCCGGCUGGGGUAGCUGCCUUUCACUGGACCCCUACCAGCCCAGUUUGGGACAUGCAAGGGGAACAGCACAUAGAUAAAGCUUUCUCAAGGUUUAUGAAAGAACAGACGGCAGCACAGCUAACCUCCAGUGCAAAUAAAAAUCAUACAUUUAAGGAAACU
ensembl:lncRNA LINC00616 long intergenic non-protein coding RNA 616